rnacentral:lncRNA from 1 species
AACUGCUCUUAGGAUGAAAUGACUGGAGCCCAGAUACCUUAUUUAGCAAUCAGUGCCCGGCACAAGGACUUGCUGUGCCAACGAAAAGGAAGCGAGGCAUUUUGGCUAGUCACAGCGUUUUUGCUGUGUCACAGGGAGACAGAAGAUGGGCUGCUAUUUCAUCGGCUAAAUGCUAUCAUUUUAAGCACCGUUCCAAAGAAAACAGGGAUCUUGCCAGAGGAAAAUAACAUAUACCAUAAAGGAAAAAGAAAUGUGCAUCAAGGCAAAUAAACAGCUUUGUACUAAGGGCCUAGGAUCUUGCUAGACGAGUCAUUUCUCUGGUUGAAAAGCAGUUGAGAAAGGCAAGACAAGGGGGGUGGGGGCCAAGCAGGGCACCUCUGAGCCCUUCCUGCUGCUCUUCAAAGACAGACGCAUUUUCCUUUCUAUGGUCUCCUUGCAAGUCUGCUGUAGGCCCUGCCACCUUCAGGCUGACUGACUGCCUCCUUCAAAUAUCAGCAUUUGAUGGAUGUGCUGGAAGGAGACCCCUGCUGACCCCUGCUGACUCCAUGACAGAGGGAUGGAAAUUCUGCCCCUCGCAGACCUCACCCUAUGCGUUCUGUUUCCUUUAU